UACGUAGGGUGCGAGCGUUGUCCGGAUUUAUUGGGCGUAAAGAGCUCGUAGGCGGUUUGUCGCGUCGGCCGUGAAAUCUCCACGCUUAACGUGGAGCGUGCGGUCGAUACGGGCAGACUUGAGUUCGGUAGGGGAGACUGGAAUUCCUGGUGUAGCGGUGAAAUGCGCAGAUAUCAGGAGGAACACCGGUGGCGAAGGCGCCACUCUGGGCCGAAACUGACGCUGAGGAGCGAAAGCGUGGGUAGCAAACAGG
rnacentral:rRNA from 1 species